GGAAUGCAUAUAAUGCUUGGUACUGCAGCAGUCAGUGCUAACGCAUGGAGAAGCAGAAGAAUAAAAGAUGCCUACUUCAUUACAGCAAGCCUCAAAUUGCUUACCCCUUGGAUUCUAAUUGCUUUAGGACGGAGAAUAACAGGCAAAACGCGAAGGAAAAAGAUGAAGGCUGGAGGCAGAGGAUGCUGUUUAUCUUUCUCAGCAUGUUGAUAAAAUAUUUGCCAAGAUCAAAAGUAGGAGAUAUUGAACCUGAGCUCUACUAGAGGAAGCUUUGAGCCAAAUACAGCUAACGACAUAUAAAGUUUCGGCAAUAUUGCUAAGCAUGUAAUCAGUUUUGUAUCUAAUAAAUGUGUUGGU